AUGCUGCUCCCCGGACUCCACCUGCCUUUCCUCCUCGUGACAGAAGACAGCGGAAGCCUACUGGGUGGAAGGCAUGGGCUUAGGAUGUGUGUGGGAGGAAAGUGUGUGUGCUGGGGAACAUGUAUGUUUGGGGGUUGUGUGUGUUGGAAAUCGUGUGUUGGGGAUUGUGUGUAUAUUGCAGAUUGUGUAUGUGUGUUGGGGAUUGUGGUGUGUGUGUGUUAUAGAUUGUAUGUUGGGAAUUGUGUAUUUGUUGGGGAUUGUGUAUUUGUUGGGGAUUGUGUGUGUGUUGGGAAGUGUGUGUGUGUGUGUUGGGGAUUAUGUGCAUGUUGGAGUUGUGUGUGUGUUAGGGAUUAUGUGUGUUGGAAAUUAUGUGUGUUGGGAAUUGUAUGUGUUGAGAAUUAUGGGGAUUGUAUGUGUUUGGGUUUGUGUGUGUGUUGGCGAUUAUGUGCAUGUUGGGAUUGUGUGUAUGUGUUGGGGAUUGUGAGGGGGAGAUUCUGUGUGUGUGCUGGGGAUUGUGUGUGUUUGGGUUUGUGUGUGUGCUGGGGAUUGUGUGUGCUGAGGAUUGUGUGCAUUUGGGUCUGUGUGUGUGCUGGGGACUGUGUGUGUGUGUGUGUUGGGGAUUCUGUGGAUGUGUUGGGGAUUCUGUGCAUGCUAGGAGUUUUGUGUGUGUUGGGGAUUAUGUGUGUGUUGAGGAUUGUGUGUGUUCUUGGGAUUGUAUGUGUUGGGAAUUUUGUGUGUGUGUUGAGGAUUGCGUGUGCUGGGGANNNNNNNNNNAAAUUGUGUGUUGGGGAUUGUGUGUGUUGGGAAUUUUGUGUGUGUGUGGAGGAUUGUGUGCAGGGGGGAUUAUGUGUGUUGGAGAUUGUGUGUGUUGGGAAUUUUGUGUGUGCGUUGCAGAUUGUGUGCGGGGGGAUUGUGUGUGUUGGAGACUGUGUAUUGGGAACUGUAUAUGUGUUGAGGAUUGUGUGUGUUUGGGAUUUUGUGUGUGCUGGGGACUGUGUGUGUUGGGGACAGUGUAUGUGUUUGGCGGAGGGUGUUGAUAAGCGGUCUGGAGGGUGA
rnacentral:lncRNA from 1 species